rnacentral:rRNA from 1 species
CGAGGACGACGCUGGCGGCGUGCCUAACACAUGCAAGUCGAGGGUUUUAGUAGUAAUACGAAGAACACUGGCGCACGGGUGAGUAACGCGUAGAUCAUCUGCCCCUAACACUGACAUAACAGUUCUAACGGACUGCUAAUAUCAGAUGUGAUAAGCAAUUNUUAAAGGGUAACCGUUAGGGAUGAGUCUGCGUCUGAUUAGGUAGUUGGUGAGGUAACGGCUCACCAAGCCUACGAUCAGUAACUGGUCUGAGAGGACGAACAGUCACACUGGAACUGAGACACGGUCCAGACUCCUACGGGAGGCAGCAGUGAGGAAUAUUGCACAAUGGGAGAAAUCCUGAUGCAGCGACGCCGCGUGUGGGAAGAAGGAGCUUAGCUUCGUAAACCACUGUCGGAGGGGACGAAUGGUAGGUUAGACCUACUGAGACGGUACCCUCAAAGGAAGGAUCGGCUAACUACGUG